rnacentral:rRNA from 1 species
CCUACGGGUGGCAGCAGUGGGGAAUAUUGCACAAUGGGGGAAACCCUGAUGCAGCGACGCCGCGUGAGUGAAGAAGUAUUUCGGUAUGUAAAGAUCUCUCAGCAGGGAAGAAAAUGACGGUACCUGAUUAAGAAGCCCCGGCUAACUACGUGCCAGCAUCCGCGGUAAUACGUAGGGGGCAAGCGUUAUACGGAUUUACUGGGUGGAAAGGGAGCGUAGACGGCAGGACAAGUCUGGAGUGAAAUGCCGGGGCUUAACCCCGGAACUGCUUUGGAAACUGUACAGCUAGAGUGCAGGAGAGGUAAGCGGAAUUCCUAGUGUAGCGGUGAAAUGCGUAGAUAUUAGGAGGAACACCAGUGGCGAAGGCGGCUUACUGGACUGUAACUGACGUUGAGGCUCGAAAGCGUGGGGAGCAAACAGGAUUAGAUACCCGUGUAGUC